rnacentral:misc_RNA from 1 species
GUGAUUAAAUCGAGCCGUGGUCUUCAUUGACCGCUCACCCUUCUCACCAUCCACAUACACCUGUGCACUGUUUAGCCUGAGCCGGUUUUCCGGUCCAGGUUAUCAUUUCAUACAAACUCUAGUCUUAUGAAUGUAAACGUUUUAAUAACAUAAUA